rnacentral:lncRNA from 1 species
AAUAACACGCAGCCACUUUAAAACUUUAAAUCAAUUAUGAACAAUUUCUUUCUUGAAUGUUAUCAAAUGUUUCAUCAAUAAAAGAUUGAUUACAAAGCAUCUAAAAAUAGCAACAUUUAAUGUGUCAUUUUCUUUUCCCCAUAACCCUGAAGCAUGUCACGCUCCUCGUUCCUAGCAUCUCCUAUUCAUCUGUAAGAACAUAAAUAAAUGGGUAUGAGCUAUAAAACUCAGUAAGUAACAAUGCAUAAUCUUAUCAGAUCAAGCAUAAUAUUUUUCAUACUAGUGCAUUAUUUUAAGAACCAACAGUUGUAAUAAAGAAAGCAUUUUCCAAAUCAAACCAGAUGUAAACCUUUUGUCUUUAUUCACUGCUUUGAAAUCCGUACUUAUCAUUAUUCUUGCUUUGAAAUCCGUACUCAUCAUUAAUCAUGCUUUAAAAUCUGUGCUGUUAUUAUUCAUGCUUUAAAAUCUGUGCUCGUAAUAAAGUAAACAUUUCAAAUAAUC